rnacentral:piRNA from 1 species
AGUAUCGAGAGGAGACUUCCUAG